rnacentral:rRNA from 1 species
UACGGAGGGUGCAAGCGUUGUUCGGAUUUACUGGGCGUAAAGCGCGCGCAGGUGGGUGUGCAAGUCGGAAGUGAAAUCCCAGGGCUCAACCCUGGGGCUGCUCCCGAAACUGCACGCCUAGGGACUGGUAGAGGCUGGUAGAAUUCCCGGUGUAGCGGUGGAAUGCGUAGAGAUCGGGAAGAAUACCCGUGGCGAAGGCGGCCAGCUGGGCCAGAUCCGACACUGAGGCGCGAAAGCGUGGGGAGCAAACAGG